CAGCAAUGUUAUAAACCUCCAUAUUCGAAUUAGAGCUAUGAUAUUAGUCGAACUAUCAUACAAUUGCUCUUUCGGACAGGUUGUGCUUAAUGUUAACAAAUUUAUUGAACCGUGGCUAGCUCUUUCUCUUUAUGAAAAAUUCCCUUCGUUACGUCUUAAUCAAUCUUGCAACUGUAAUGUGACAUAUUCGUACUAUGUUAUAGAUAUGACGCGUCCAAUGGUUUUUUGCAGGUUUGGUAAUGUCGUUGAUUGGAUCAUUACCAAUUCUUGUAAAUCUUGAAAGGCAAAGUCAUGCGAUUACCGGUAUGAUAGUCCGACUAAUAUCACGCAGAUUACUUCAUAUUCCACAUGCAUGGAUAAUUCUUGGAACAGUCUUGCAAUAUUAAUUUUAUCACAGGUUGCCCAAAAUUACACGGAAGAGAUUUUCAACAGUGAAACUUUUGCUUUGAUAACAAUGGAACUUUGUAUACACUACCUUUUUAAAAUAUUUCACAGGUAAUUGAUUUCCUGGGACUAAUAACUUAUUGUAGUUUCUUACUUGAUUGACAUUUUUGCAAAGGAUAUAUACACGAUGUAGCACAAUAAUGGAGUAAUUUACUGUAUUGAGACCAAUGUGUGUCUGUUGUGUAUGAUUCUAGAUAACUGGUUUUUAUUUGAGCUACUCUCAUUUUUUGCAUAUUUAAGGAUGAUUAUAUUACUAACUUGCUCUAAUUAUGAUUACUCAGGAUGACCUAGCAUCCAAAAUCAAAGGUUCCGACAUUAGUUUUAGUUUACUACAAGUGUGUUAAGGAGGCUUCAACUUAGGUUUACUUAUCAGAGGCUAUUGACAUGGUCAACUGUACAACCUUUGUUAAAGAGAAUAAGUGACAAUGAUGUUGUGCUAGAUGAUAUAUUUAGAAUUUUCAUGGUAGAUGAUUCCAUCAGUUUAUAGCAAGAGAUCAUUGAGGAUGAGAGCUUCCAAUCAAAAGGAAAAUAAAAUAGCUUCAAAGUGUCACCAGUUAUGAAGCUCAAUUUAAAGAUUUCCUCAUGUAACUGUACUGGAAGAUGA